CUCUGCAUGGUUCUCUUUUGGGCACCCACCACUCAGGGUCUUAUAUACUGGGACCAAAGACGAGACCUGCUCUAUCUUGGCCAAUAGCGGUUGUGAGAUGAAACAGAUACUUGAGAGAGCAAGUAUGCUGGGAACAACAUAAUGACGGCCACUUGAAGUAAAAGUCCCUGUACUUAGGACAGAUGCGGAAGAUAGUCAGACCAUUUGAAGGAGGGGAAGAGGGAAAGAAAGCAGCAGAGCUGCCUUGGGGGAGUCGAAGGGAAAGCCUAAUCAGCAAGGCAAGGCCCACGGACUGAUAGGUGCAGUUUUCCCUGCAGAAGGGCCCCUUUAAGCAUGAGUCUUUUGAAGCUGCAGUAAUAGGGUCGGUGGCGUAGACAGAGUCAAGAAGAGAGAUGAGUAGGUAAGAAGUCAAGGCCCAGGGGCAGGACCUGUGGAUUUCCAAGCCUGGGGAAGCAGGGACAGCCAGAACCUCCCACGGUCUCCUGGACCUCGCUGCGAACCAGCCGGGGAACAUUCCAGCCUAAUCGCUGCUCAGAUCGGUAGCAGCAGAGGCCAAGCCUUAGAAUUUGGCGCCUGCCGGCCCGCGAGUUCGCUCGCUAGGGGCAACCCAGCUGACCCAAGUGGGGACUUCGGAAACCCUUCAAUAGCUGGAGGCCCAUGGGGUUUCCCCUGUCUUCAGAUCCGGGGGAACUGAGUAAAACUGAAGGGGAGGGCGGGCAUGGAACCAAAAGCCCCAGAUUGGGGAGGAAUACAAAGAUCCUGUCAGGAACGAACGGACCUCGGGACUUCGGAGUCACCAUGGCCCUGGAAAGACCCGAGUGUCACAGCCCAGGCCUGUGCAUCAUCAGAUCCAGGACCGGUCCUGCUGCUGUCCUUCACAGGAGGGGAGAAGAACACAGGUCAGGACAGGGGAGCAACACACCCCUCCCCAAAGGCGCGGGGGGGGGGCAGCUGGACAGAUUUAAAGGACAGAGAUGGCCCCUUUCCUCCUGGCAUUCCAAAGGGGACCUCCGUCAUCAUCCUAUCCCACCCCA
rnacentral:lncRNA from 1 species